rnacentral:rRNA from 1 species
UGGGGAAUAUUGGCCAAUGGACCGAGAGUCUGAUCCAGCAAUUCUGUGUGCACGAUGAAGUUUUUCGGAAUGUAAAGUGCUUUCAGUUGGGAAGAAAGAAAUGACGGUACCAACAGAAGAAGUGACGGCUAAAUACGUGCCAGCAGCCGCGGUAAUACGUAUGUCACGAGCGUUAUCCGGAUUUAUUGGGCGUAAAGCGCGUCUAGGUGGUUAUAUAAGUCUGAUGUGAAAAUGCAGGGCUCAACUCUGUAUUGCGUUGGAAACUGUAUAACUAGAGUACUGGAGAGGUAAGCGGAACUACAAGUGUAGAGGUGAAAUUCGUAGAUAUUUGUAGGAAUGCCGAUGGGGAAGCCAGCUUACUGGACAGAUACUGACGCUGAAGCGCGAAAGCGUGGGUAGCAAACAGGAUUAGAUACCCUGGUAGUCCACGCUGUAAACGAUGAUUACUAGGUGUUGGGGGUCGAACCUCAGCGCCCAAGCAAACGCGAUAAGUAAUCCGCCUGGGGAGUACGUACGCAAGUAUG